AACGAACGCUGGCGGCAGGCUUAACACAUGCAAGUCGAGCGCCCCGCAAGGGGAGCGGCAGACGGGUGAGUAACGCGUGGGAAUCUACCCAUCUCUACGGAAUAACGCAUGGAAACGUGUGCUAAUACCGUAUACGUCCUUCGGGAGAAAGAUUUAUCGGAGAUGGAUGAGCCCGCGUUGGAUUAGCUAGUUGGUGGGGUAAAGGCCUACCAAGGCGACGAUCCAUAGCUGGUCUGAGAGGAUGAUCAGCCACACUGGGACUGAGACACGGCCCAGACUCCUACGGGAGGCAGCAGUGGGGAAUAUUGGACAAUGGGCGCAAGCCUGAUCCAGUCAUGCCGCGUGAGUGAUGAAGGCCCUAGGGUUCUAAAGCUCUUUCACCGGUGAAGAUAAUGACGGUAACCGGAGAAGAAGCCCCGGCUAACUUCGUGCCAGCCGCCGCAGUAAUAC
rnacentral:rRNA from 1 species